GUGCUCGCUUCGGCAGCACAUAUACUAAAAUUGGAACGAUACAGAGAAGAUUAGCAUGGCCCCUGCGCAUGAUGAUAUGAUAGAACUAUGUCCUAUCAGAUCAU